rnacentral:rRNA from 1 species
GUGCCAGCAGCCGCGGUAAUACGUAGGGGGCAAGCGUUGUCCGGAUUUACUGGGCGUAAAGAGCGCGUAGGCGGAACGUUAAGUCCGAUCUGAAAGCCCCCGGCUCAACCGGGGAGGGUGGUUGGAAACUGGCGUUCUUGAGGGCGAUAGAGGAAGGUGGAAUUCCUGGUGUAGCGGUGAAAUGCGUAGAGAUCAGGAGGAACACCAGUGGCGAAGGCGGCCUUCUGGGUCGACCCUGACGCUGAGGCGCGAAAGCGUGGGGAGCGAACGGGAUUAGAUACCCGAGUAGUCC